CAAACAUCACGCGCCGAUGGUGUCCCGUCUUUGGACGGGACGAAAAGGGAAUGCCGGAAGUCGCUGCCCGCAUUGAUGCGAGCAAGACCGAGCCGGAGCUGCCCCCGCAACUGUAAACGGCGAGCCGACGCAACACGCCACUGGAUGUUUCUCCGGGAAGGCUGCGCCUGCGACGACCCGUGAGCCAGGAGACCUGCCAUCGCCUGCUGUGUUGAC
rnacentral:ncRNA from 18 species